GUUUAAUAUAUUUAUCAAUUUGUAUCAGUGCAAGUUUGCAGAUAAGGGCUGAGUCUUCGUUUCUUUUCUGUAUUUGGAAUGAGUCCUCGUUAACGGGAACCAAGGUAUGCCAACAAUCUACUACCAUCAUAAUAUUCCUUGAAAAAUGUUACCCAGCAACCUCGGGAUGGCUCUUUAGCCAUAACUGUAUUGGCAACACUGUCAAAACUAACGCCAGCGCCAUUUCACAGACAAAUUCCUUCUUGUGUAAUUUGUUGCGGUUUAUCAAAGAUUAUCUACGAUUUACAGAGCCUCAAAUUGAUACAUAACCCUUCGCAUGAAUCAAGUAAACCUCUCUCAUCGAGAAUGAGUUUUCGUCAGUGACUGAAACACAGGGAGAGGACGUAAAGUGUGGCAUUCAUGUGUGCAUUAUAUGCUUUCUGACACGAGGACGAUGAUAUGCAGUUACCGUUAUGCAACCAAAUAACCCCUAAGAGAUGGAAAGAGAAGGCUGGCUCAGUGUUGAGUACCCGUUGGUCGGACCUCUUUCGUACUCAGCCCACCCACUGACCCCUCCCACAUCCUGUUUCCGGUGCUUCCAAGUUCUCACAUGGUCAAGAUUGGCUGGAGCCAUUUCUUCUUCCAUUUCUCCGCUUGUCGCUGAAGUGAUUUCCCUCCAGUUUCUCACAAUGGUUGGUCUUUAGCCCUUAUAACCUCCAUUACAACUCCAUCACCGAUUCCAAACCAAGGAUAGAUUGGACUCCUCCUAUCCAAUAAACCCAACGAUACAACCCAUUUGAAUAUCUUACAGAACUUUGAGCUGAGCUUUAUCUUAGCAAUUCAAAAAUAAGUAUUAGAAAGUUGGUGUUGGCAAUCUUACGAGGAACACUCCAAUCGAUGCUUGGUGACCGAACACAGUUCCAUUCGUGAAGGUAGUAAGUUGGCCGGGCUCUUUGGCUCUCUGCUAGUACUUCUUCCUCAUCCCAUGACACUAAGUGCCUCAUCAAGCCUGAUCCACUUAUAUUGGGACCACUUGUGGAGUUGGGUCGCCAGAAUGGAACAAUACCCACCGACGAGAGGCAUCAUAAAAUCCCUCCAAAUAUUGGCUCGUGAUUCGGAUGGAUCCAGAUACAACCCUCGACCCUCGAAAUUGGUCCAAUUGCAUCCUUGGUUAUAUCAGUACUUGCUCAAUCAUUUUGGCGUCUGUUUUGAUGAUUAUUUUGCCUUUUCGAACUGGCCUAAGUUUAACAUAAAGUGAAAAAGCAGAUCACGGAAGAAAACUACCUGAUAAACUUGAUAACAAAAUUUGUUAUACACAGCCAUAACUUAUUUUUUGACUUUUGUAUGCUCAAAUACGAGAAGUGCAAAUUGUUGGCAAAAAUGACAUUUCCGUUGAAUAUGUGAAACUUAGGUCUGCUGAUAGUUCCUAAAACUCAAUACUCAGAGAAAAACCAUUUUCGAUUGAAAUAAGAUAGCGUUCCCAAUCAAACAAACAAAUGCUGGAAAUGAUUUCUCCGAAUACCUGAUGAUGUGAUCCAAGCUUUGUACCAUUACCUUCCUAAAGUAUCAAAACUUCUGUUUCAUAGAGUACGAACGUACAUUGAUAAUACUGAAAACCAUUUUUUAAUAUGUGAUACAUUCAUUCACGAGCACUUUUGUCCCUAGAAGUAACCUUUUAAUGGGAAAUAUAUUCCACCUUUGUACUAGUA